AUUGAACGCUGGCGGCAGGCUUAACACAUGCAAGUCGAGCGGGGUGAUGGUGCUUGCACUAUCACUUAGCGGCGGACGGGUGAGUAAUGCUUAGGAAUCUGCCUAUUAGUGGGGGACAACAUCUCGAAAGGGAUGCUAAUACCGCAUACGUCCUACGGGAGAAAGCAGGGGAUCACUUGUGACCUUGCGCUAAUAGAUGAGCCUAAGUCGGGAUUAGCUAGUUGGUGGGGUAAAGGCCUACCAAGGCGACGAUCUGUAGCGGGUCUGAGAGGAUGAUCCGCCACACUGGGACUGAGACACGGCCCAGACUCCUACGGGAGGCAGCAGUGGGGAAUAUUGGACAAUGGGGGGAUCCCUGAUCCAGCCAUGCCGUGUGUGUGAAGAAGGCCUUAUGGUUGUAAAGCACUUUAAGCGAGGAGGAGGCUCUUUUGGUUAAUACCCAAGAUGAGUGGACGUUACUCGCAGAAUAAGCACCGGCUAACUCUGUGCCAGCCGCCGCGGUAA
rnacentral:rRNA from 1 species